rnacentral:rRNA from 1 species
AGAGUUUGAUCAUGGCUCAGGAUGAACGCUAGCGGCAGGCUUAAUACAUGCAAGUCGAGGGGCAGCGGGGGUAGCAAUACCUGCCGGCGACCGGCAAACGGGUGCGGAACACGUACGCAACCUUCCCAGAACAGGUGAAUAGCCCUCCGAAAGGAGGAUUAAUACACCGUAAGAUAUAGAGAUGGCAUCAUUUUUAUAUAAUAGGCAGCAAUGUCGGUUUUGGAUGGGCGUGCGGCUGAUUAGGUAGUUGGCGGGGUAACGGCCCACCAAGCCUCCGAUCAGUAACUGGUGUGAGAGCACGACCAGUCACACGGGCACUGAGACACGGGCCCGACUCCUACGGGAGGCAGCAGUAAGGAAUAUUGGUCAAUGGACGCAAGUCUGAACCAGCCAUGCCGCGUGAAGGAUGAAGGCCCUCUGGGUUGUAAACUUCUUUUAUCUGGGACGAAAAAAGGGGAUUCUUCCUCACUUGACGGUACCAGAGGAAUAAGCACCGGCUAACUCCGUGCCAGCAGCCGCGGUAAUACGGAGGGUGCAAGCGUUAUCCGGAUUUACUGGGUUUAAAGGGUGCGUAGGUGGGCAGGUAAGUCAGUGGUGAAAUCUUCAAGCUUAACUUGGAAACUGCCAUUGAUACUAUUUGUCUUGAAUAUCCUGGAGGUAAGCGGAAUAUGUCAUGUAGCGGUGAAAUGCUUAGAUAUGACAUAGAACACCCAUUGCGAAGGCAGCUUACUACGGGAUUAUUGACACUGAGGCACGAAAGCGUGGGGAUCAAACAGGAUUAGAUACCCUAGUAGUCC